CCGCCGGCGACCGGCGCACGGGUGAGUAACACGUAUGCAACCUGGCCGUGACAGAUGGAUAACCGGGAGAAAUCCCGCCUAAUACAACAUAAUGCCGGGAGGGGACAUCCCCUGCCGGCCAAAGGGGGCGACCCCGGUCACGGAUGGGCAUGCGGCGCAUUAGGUAGUUGGUGGGGCAACGGCCCACCAAGCCGGCGAUGCGUAGGGGUUCUGAGAGGAAGGUCCCCCACAUUGGAACUGAGACACGGUCCAAACUCCUACGGAAGGCAGCAG
rnacentral:rRNA from 1 species